UUGUUAAACUACUUACAUGUCGUCUAUGAGAGGGAAGAAGAGAAAGAGAUACGUACUUCUGGAAGAAUAGUCAUGUCUCUCUCUGUCAACUUUAGCCAACGAAGAUGUAGAUCGAUUUGGACGAUUCUAUUCAACUGUUGAAUUUCUCUAAAGCCAAAAUCUGAGACCGAGACACACACGGACUAGUCCUUAUUGAGUUAAUACGCUCGUAUCUGCCUAACGACUCUUCAUUUGUUUCAUUUGUUUCAGACACCAAAAAGACAAAGACCCUUUGAAAGCCUCUUGCCAAAAACAUCUUCUCAACUACUCUGACAACUCAGUAUCGGAGAAUUCGAAAAGCCUAUUUGAAGAUUGGCUCAAUGGGAAGUAAAGGGAUCCUCAUACACGUAUAGCAUUUGAAUCCCAGAAAUGAAUUGUUUUUACUACUUCAAGGACAAGGCCAAGAGCAAGCUACAAAGGUCAGCUCCAGAGCUGAAAGAGGAGACCAAAUCUGAGUAUUCAGGAGCUGAUAGUAGGAUUAUCAAGUCUUCUUGCUCAGCUAAUUCGCCACGUGGGAUACCGGAACUGUACGAAGAAAAGGCACAUAACUUGAGAGUGUUCACCUUCUCUGAGCUCAGAGUUGCCACACAUGAUUUCAGCAGGCUUCUUAAGAUAGGCGAAGGUGGAUUUGGCAGUGUUUUUAAGGGUUCAAUCAAGCCUGCUGAUGGGAAAGGUGACCAAAUCGUGGUUGCCAUUAAGAAGCUCAACAAAGAUGGCUCACAGGGUCACAAACAAUGGCUAGCAGAGGUUCAAUUUCUGGGUGUUGUAGACCAUCCAAAUCUUGUCAAACUUAUAGGAUACUGUGCUGUGGAUGGGGAAAGAGGGAUCCAAAGGCUACUUGUUUAUGAAUACAUGCAAAAGAGAAGCUUAGAAGAUCAUCUUUUCAACAAGGCUUAUCCAACUCUUCCAUGGAAAACACGACUAGACAUUGUACUUGGAGCGGCUCAAGGAUUGGCUUACUUACAUGAAGGAUUGGAAGUUCAGGUGAUAUUUCGAGAUUUUAAAGCCUCGAAUGUGUUAUUGGAUGAGGAUUUCAAAGCAAAGCUGUCGGAUUUUGGACUGGCUCGGGAAGGGCCAAUGGCUGGCCAUACUCAUGUGUCAACUGCAGUCAUGGGAACAUAUGGAUAUGCUGCACCGGAUUACGUUGAAACAGGUCAUCUCACAGCUAAGAGUGAUGUGUGGACUUUUGGUGUGGUGCUGUACGAGAUUCUUUCUGGCAGGCGGUCAGUGGAGAGGAACCGACCCAGAACAGAACAGAAACUUUUGGAAUGGGUGAAGCAGUUUCCUCCAGAAAGCAAAAAAUUUGGACAGAUAAUGGAUCCUAGACUUGAAAACCAAUAUUCUUCAAGUGCAGCCAGAAGAAUGGCCAAGUUAGCUGAUAGUUGUCUAUCGAAGAGCGCAAAAGAUCGGCCAAAGAUGAGCCAAGUGGUGGAGACAUUAAAGCUGAUUAUGCAAAUCUCAGAGAAUGGGAAUUCUUCAAGUCUCGAGUCCUCUGACAGUAACAAGACUGACUUGGAACCAAAGCCGAUUCAGUUAGGCCCGGCAGAGUCAUGGAAAAGACGAAUGUCACACUUGGAAAAACUAGGCGAGCAAGUUGAUGGUGGUAGUAGAAGAAGGUUCAUGAUCAUGCAUAGAGCCAAAGUGAAUUGAUGGCACUGCCAACCAACAAUGCCAUUGCAUUUUGAUGCAUUCAAAAGCUAUACUCAAGUGGCUAAAACUUUGGAGAUGGAGGGUAAAAUGCUAUGCGAUAGAGCUGAAAUUGAUUGGUGGUGUUUUCUAUGGAGGUGAAGCACCAGGUUUGUGAAAUGGUAAUCUUAUCAGAAAAAUACUAAUAUGUCCUCUAUUUAUAUCAGCCGUUUCUGUGAUAUAUACUAUAUAGAGUUGUGAGGAGAGUUGAUUAAUUAUGGGUGCUUCUUCUGAUGAAGGUUUGACCAAAGAGAGAUUGUGGACUUUGAAUCACAAGUUUUGCCAAGUUGUUGACCACUUUCUUUCACUUGUUUCAUUAAUCUUCCAUUACUAAUGAGGUCCAAUCUCACCCAUCAAAAGAAAAACAGGUGCUUUAUUUGAUGAAUAAGGUGGCAAGAGGCACUACAUGUGGAUAUUGGAAAAGAAGUUUUCUGUUUUUAUAUUGAGAAAAGAAUAUCCAUUCAUUGAAAGAGAUCAAACAUUCGAUAAGAUUUAUAAUAAGUUUUUCUAAGCAGUUUUGUUAGAAAUAUGACUUCAAGAAACCAAUACAAUUUCACCGAGAUCACAACGCACUCACCGGGUGUUUGGGUUUGUGAAACUAAACUAGUGUUUAUUAUGAUUUUUAGUGAAAAGUUUAUGUUUGUGUCUA